ensembl:lncRNA LINC01877 long intergenic non-protein coding RNA 1877
AUAAAUGUGUAAUGAAGGUGGGAACUGUGCCUCAUAAUUCACUUUGAAGCACAUCUAGCAACUCAUCAUAUUUAAAUAGUCAUUUCAGAGAUGUUUCAUAUACUCUGUUUUCUAGGACUGGAGUGUCAUAUCUCAGCUUCUCGCCCCUUGAUCUCCAUAUGCCUGUCUCCACGAGGCUGUCCAGAAACCAGAUUACCCAGGGGCUGGCUCCCUUGCCCUCUGGCUUCUGGUUGGACUCAGCCAAUAAUAGGUACCACCUGGACAUUGAAGGUGGAAAGGGAGAGAUAACAGGGAGGAAAUGGCAUGAAUGAGACUUGAAGCUAAAAAUGCACUUGCUGAUUUGAAGAACAUUAACUGUGGCUGUUUGUGACCUGGCUGGAAAGGACAACCCAUCAUCACAUCUACUGGUAAACUUAUGGUAUCCAGAAAAAGCCAAAGGACUCUAUUGCAAGACAGCAUCACCUGGCUGCAGAGACUUACUAAAUAAAUGCUACUACUUUCAAAUACACCAAGGAAUAAAAGAAUUUAUAUUU